rnacentral:tRNA from 1 species
GGGCUAUUAGCUCAGUGGUUAGAGCGCGCCCCUGAUAAGUGCGGGGCGAGGCCUCUGGUUCAAAUCCAGAAUGGCCCA